UACGUAGGGGGCAAGCGUUGUCCGGAUUUAUUGGGCGUAAAGAGCGUGUAGGCGGCCCGGUAAGUCCACUGUAAAAGUCAAAGGCUCAACCUUUGAAUGUCAGUGGAUACUGCCGGGCUAGAGUCCGGAAGAGGCGAGUGGAACUCCUGGUGUAGCGGUGGAAUGCGCAGAUAUCAGGAAGAACACCAACGGCGAAGGCAGCUCGCUAGGACGGUACUGACGCUGAGACGCGAAAGCGUGGGGAGCGAACAGG
rnacentral:rRNA from 1 species